UACGUAGGGGGCAAGCGUUGUCCGGAAUCAUUGGGCGUAAAGGGCUCGUAGGCGGCCCAGUAAGUCGGAUGUGAAAGCCCAGGGCUCAACCCUGGAAAUGCAUUCGAUACUGCUGGGCUUGAGGCAGGUAGAGGGGUGUGGAAUUCCCGGUGUAGCGGUGGAAUGCGCAGAUAUCGGGAGGAACACCGGUUGCGAAGGCGACACCCUGGGCCUGACCUGACGCUGAGGAGCGAAAGCGUGGGGAGCGAACAGG
rnacentral:misc_RNA from 1 species